GAUGAACGCUGGCGGCGUGCCUAAUACAUGAAAGUCGAGCGAACAGACGAGGAGCUUGCUCCUCUGACGUUAGCGGCGGACGGGUGAGUAACACGUGGAUAACCUACCUAUAAGACUGGGAUAACUUCGGGAAACCGGAGCUAAUACCGGAUAAUAUAUUGAACCGCAUGGUUCACUAGUGAAAGACGGUUUUGCUGUCACUUAUAGCUGGAUCCGCGCCGCAUUAGCUAGUUGGUAAGGUAACGGCUUACCAAGGCGACGAUUCGUAGCCGACCUGAGAAGGUGAUCGGCCACACGGAAACUGAGACACAGUCCAGUCACCUACGGGAGGCAGCAGUAGGGAAGCUUCCGCAGUGUGCGAAAGCCUGACGGAGCAACGCCGCGUGAGUGAUCAAGGUCUUCGGAUCGUAAAACUAUGUUAUUAGGGAAGAACAAAUGUGUAAGUAACGAUGCACGUCUUGACGGGACCUAAUCAGAGAGCCACGGCUAACUACGA
rnacentral:rRNA from 1 species